AACUAUAAGAGUCUAAAUCUUUUUCGAACACAAGAGAAUUGAUGGAGUGAUAUAAGAAGGUUUCUUUGUUAAUUGAUUAUUCUCUUCCGCUUACAGGGGAUGGCGCUAAGAAUAAGUGCUUUGAUGAACUAAUAGGUGUUUGGAUUUUGUGUUUACUUUGCUCUGCAUAGGGCUCCUUCAGUUUUUUGUAUUCUUUUACUUCGCUCAGUAAUUCUUCUAUUUUCAAGAUAAGAAUACAGGCUGCAUCUGCAUUGGCUACCCUACCAACAAUAGUGGGUGAAUCGAUAUGGAUCCCAUGAACAACAGUCCUUCAUUUUUAAAGCUUAUUGAGGAAGAUGACCCGAUAUUUUUGCAAAUACCUAAUGACUUUGCUUCAAUGAUUUGGGGAGACCAACCACCUUACAAAGAUUCAGUUAAGAUUGUUGAUGGC